UACGUAGGGGGCGAGCGUUGUCCGAAGUUACUGGGCGUAAAGCGCGCGUAGGCGGACUCUUAAGUGAGGGGUGAAAGGUUCAGGGCUCAACCCGGACACUGCCUUUCAUACUGGGAGUCUUGAGUGCGGGAGAGGCGAGUGGAAUGGUCGGUGUAGCGGUGAAAUGCGUAGAUAUCGAUCGGAACACCCAUGGCGAAGGCAGCUCGCUGGCCUGUAACUGACGCUGAGGUGCGAAAGCGUGGGGAGCAAACAGG
rnacentral:rRNA from 1 species